rnacentral:rRNA from 1 species
GAAUUUUAUAUAAAUUGAGAAAGAAUUUUAGUAAAAGUAUUAAUUAAUUUAUAUUUAGUUGGGAGGAUGAUUAAAUUAUAAAAACUUUAAAUAAUUGGAAUCAUAAAUUUAUGAAAUUAUUAAUAAGAAUGAUUUUAAAAUUAAAAUAGAAUUAAUUACCUUAGGGAUAACAGCGUUAUAUUUUUAGAGAGAUCUUAUUAAUAAAAGUGAUUGC